rnacentral:lncRNA from 1 species
CCUCGGCCAGGAUUGGUGGAGACCUGGACCCGAAUUCUUCUGGGUUGCUGGAAAGGGGCUCUGAGCUGGUGGCUGGCCAGGGAGCCACAUUGUCCAAACUCUUUCGGGGUCGGGGUUGAGGAAGUAUUUAAAUUUCUCUGCUCAGUCCCGAGGACUCCAGUCUUCUCUCCACUCGCCUAUAAGGUUUCUUCCCUUCAAAGUCGGUUUCACCUGUUGCCACGAGGCUUUCCUCAGGCUGUAUAUUAAACCCCUCGCAAGUGUGUGCCUUCAGCUCUGCAAUUAUCAGCUCCAGCACAACAUCUCUGAACUGCCUGACAUCCCAGCCCCAGACAGACUGAUUGUAAACCCCAAGGUUUUACCCACUGAGGAAGUCUGGGUCUGCCUGCUUUCCUCCAUGGGUAGCAUUCGUCAACUACCGGGAGUGGUUUUCUGAAGGCUGCAGAUAAACAAAGCCCUGUUUAGAGGAUUGGGCCGGGCCUGAGAAAGCUGGGCAAGGUAGGAACUGCUCAGGCUGGGAGAGCAGGAGAACAGGUUCUAGGGCAUUGUGGGUCUGGGGUUGGACGGAGCCAGCUAGCUCUGCAUGAUCUGGAGGAACAGGAGGAUGGUUUGUGCUCAGCUUGAGAAAAUCUACACACAAGCAUAACAUCGUUGUUUACUAGCGAUUGGGCUAGUGUCCUGGGUUCCACUAGGGUACUUCCAUGUGGCAUGUAAUGGAAUUCAAACAAUUCACUCCAUCCCCUCCGCAUUCCCCUCCCUCCCACACUCUUGCACUUUCUCCCCCCUAGACUUCAAAAUAUAAAAGAAAACACGAAAUUCUUGUCUUUCUUUUUUUUUUUGAGGGUGCCUUAUUUUGCCUAACAUAAUUUCCAUUUCUAUCCAUUGAAACUGAGUAAUUUCAUGGAG